CCUACGGGAGGCAGCAGUGGGGAAUAUUGCACAAUGGGCGCAAGCCUGAUGCAGCGACGCCGCGUGAGGGAUGGAGGCCUUCGGGUUGUAAACCUCUUUUAUCGGGGAGCAAGCGAGAGUGAGUUUACCCGUUGAAUAAGCACCGGCUAACUACGUGCCAGCAGCCGCGGUAAUACGUAGGGUGCAAGCGUUAUCCGGAAUUAUUGGGCGUAAAGGGCUCGUAGGCGGUUCGUCGCGUCCGGUGUGAAAGUCCAUCGCUUAACGGUGGAUCCGCGCCGGGUACGGGCGGGCUUGAGUGCGGUAGGGGAGACUGGAAUUCCCGGUGUAACGGUGGAAUGUGUAGAUAUCGGGAAGAACACCAAUGGCGAAGGCAGGUCUCUGGGCCGUUACUGACGCUGAGGAGCGAAAGCGUGGGGAGCGAACAGGAUUAGAUACCCUGGUAGUCCACGCCGUAAACGGUGGAUGCUGGAUGUGGGGCCCGUUCCACGGGUUCCGUGUCGGAGCUAACGCGUUAAGCAUCCCGCCUGGGGAGUACGGCCGCAAGGCUAAAACUCAAAGAAAUUGACGGGGGCCCGCACAAGCGGCGGAGCAUGCGGAUUAAUUCGAUGCAACGCGAAGAACCUUACCUGGGCUUGACAUGUUCCCGACGGUCGUAGAGAUACGGCUUCCCUUCGGGGCGGGUUCACAGGUGGUGCAUGGUCGUCGUCAGCUCGUGUCGUGAGAUGUUGGGUUAAGUCCCGCAACGAGCGCAACCCUCGCCCCGUGUUGCCAGCGGAUUGUGCCGGGAACUCACGGGGGACCGCCGGGGUUAACUCGGAGGAAGGUGGGGAUGACGUCAGAUCAUCAUGCCCCUUACGUCCAGGGCUUCACGCAUGCUACAAUGGCCGGUACAACGGGAUGCGACGCGGCGACGCGGAGCGGAUCCCUGAAAACCGGUCUCAGUUCGGAUCGCAGUCUGCAACUCGACUGCGUGAAGGCGGAGUCGCUAGUAAUCGCGAAUCAGCAACGUCGCGGUGAAUGCGUUCCCGGGCCUUGUACACACCGCCCGUCAAGUCAUGAAAGUGGGCAGCACCCGAAGCCGGUGGCCUAACCCCUUGUGGGAUGGAGCCGUCUAAGGUGAGGCUCGUGAUUGGGACUAAGUCGUAACAAGGUAGCCGUACCGGAAGGUGCGGCUG
rnacentral:rRNA from 1 species